GUCCUUGUCGAUUAGUGGUUAAAUCACCUCGUUGUGGCCGAGGAGCCGCAGGUUCAAUUCCUGCCAGGGACA
rnacentral:tRNA from 1 species